UACGGAGGAUGCAAGCGUUAUCCGGAAUGAUUGGGCGUAAAGCGUCCGCAGGUGGCAGUUCAAGUCUGCUGUCAAAGACCGGGGCUUAACUUCGGAAAGGCAGUGGAAACUGAACAGCUAGAGUAUGGUAGGGGCAGAGGGAAUUCCUGGUGUAGCGGUGAAAUGCGUAGAGAUCAGGAAGAACACCGGUGGCGAAGGCGCUCUGCUAGGCCGCAACUGACACUGAGGGACGAAAGCUAGGGGAGCGAAUGGG
rnacentral:rRNA from 1 species